rnacentral:tmRNA from 1 species
CCCCUUGAAAGACAAGCCCCUUCGACCCUAUAUUCGUUCUGUCCUUCGGGACUAUGGACAUAAACGCGCUCAUAAUAAGCGGAUCGGACCCGGGGGCGGUACCCGGCGGCUCCACCAUACAUCCUUCGUUUGAGGAUCUUGGGGCCGAAAUAGGAUCGACGAACGUGUAAAAGAGUUGUUUUGUCUCGGUGAGGUACCACCGUUAUCGGUCCGAAAAGUACAAUUGCAAACGACAAUCGUGCUCCGGUUGCAGUCGCUGCGUAAGCAGUGACGAGACCGAAACUUAAGCCCUUGCGCUUAGCAGCGUAAGGCGGGGUUCGCAGGCACCUGGCAACAGAAGCCUGCAUU